AAGCUGAGGCUGAGGGCCACUCUCUUCUAGCCUCUCUGCCUUCUAAGUUAAGGAGCUGGUUUUGGUUUCAUUUCUACUAGAGUGAGGAAAAAAAAGGAGCUGAUUUGAUCCUUGCUCCACUCCCAGGGCAGAGAUCGCUCAGACUUCUCUCCCACAGCCCUCUGUGUGCUGCCAACAGUCCCACAGGCAUAAAGAAGAGGGCAAUUGCGAGAGUCUGGGGACAGCAGUUUCACAAUUCACCACAAGGCUCCAGGGCAGCUUGGAAGAGAUGGUUGUAGCCAUGUGGGGCAGUAGGUAGAAUGCUGGCCUAGACUCCAGUUACUACUCUGCCACUGAAGCACUGUGUGACCUUAGGCACGUUACUGAACCUCUGUAGGCCUCUUUUUCCUCAAGUGUCAAACUAGGAAAUCAGAUGCUUUAUAGAGUAGAAAAUUUUCAGAUUUGAAAAGUACUUUGGGUAUCAUCUAGCUCAUCCUGUUUAGUUUGUACACUUGGAAACUGAGGACUAGAGAAGGGGAGUAACUUACUAAUGACAGGUAAAUAACAGGGUAAUUUCUAGAAGACAAGACUUCAUGUUGCAGUGCUGCUUUGUCUUCUGGAUAAUUUCCAAGGUUCUCCCCAGCUCCAUGAGUCUAUACUUUAAAGGCACAGUCCCUUAUCAGCUCUGGCUGUCGUCUUUGGGCUUGGUAUUGUGUUGGUCACCGCGUGCUUCCUUUGGAACUCUUGGUGACACUGCUUCUGUCCAGAUACUUUCCCCAUUACAGGAUUCUUCAAUUUCGUGUAAGGCUGGGCAAAUGAUCUGCUUAGCCACACCUCUGGCAGUCCUGUUGUAAUGCUUAUAAUGGUCUAGGCUCAUUUCAGACAGAAAAUUCAGACAGGGUGUUGGGCAAGAGCAGGGUCAGCUUGGUGACUUGGCCUCGUGUAUAGACAGAGACAUUGCAGUAACUGCCAAGAGACCUAUGUCCAGCUUGGCCCCUGAGUCACUUAGUGACCUUGAACAAGCCACAUUUCCCUUCCAAGCCUCAAUAUCUCCAUAUUUAAAACUUGUUGAUUGAAGUAGAUAAUUCCUAAGGUACCUUCCAGCUCUGCUAUUCCAUAGCAGAAACUUGCCCAAACUUUUAAUUCCUUAGGGGAUCUUGCUUAGAAACUAAGAGAAUGAUCUUCAUCACAGGAAGUCUGAGAAUGCUUGCAGGAUAAUAAAAUAAGUAUUAGGCAAAAAAAUAAGAAUUUUAUGUAGCCCUUUGCUUUUGGAUCAUAUUUUCUAAUGUCUAUAUCAAAUAAUUGCGUCAUAACCAUGUUUCAAUUUUCAUAUGAAGAGAGGAAGAAGGAGAAAUAGAAGUAACAAUUGCUAUAGAAAUUAGCCAAGCUUUAUCAAAAUACGAUCUCAUUUGGUAGGACAUAACUGGAUCCUCAGCUUCAUAGAUGUAGAUUCUGCCUUCAGCACUCAUAUCUACCAGGGAGCUCCAGCAUAGAGAUAAGGGAGCCAAAUACAAAGGAUGAGAUUUUAAAGCCUGUAUAAAGGACAGAGGGGAGAGAGAUCACUUACUGUUUAGGGGUAUCAGAAAAGUCUUCAUGGAAACAUUUGCAUUUGAUUUUGGCUUGGGGAAAUAAAUAGUCAAUGAGAAGCACGAGGAGGCCAAUCAGAGGAAAUACUAUGAACAAAGGCAGAAGCAGGGAAAGCAUGUGAAGUCUGGUGACCCGUGAAUUGGUAGUUUGUUUGGCUAGGGCACAAAACUGUGAUAUUAUUAGUCAGAAAGAAGACUAAUUGAAUUCAUGUGUUAUACCUCCCUGGCUAACACAUAAGUUAUGUUAGGGCAAAAAUAUUUGUUCAAUUCAUUUUUGUAACCCUAUCAAAGAUGACACAUAAUCAUUUCUCAAAAUUCAUUUAAUGAAUAAAAUAAAUUAUAUUAUGUGGUAAUUUUUCCUGCAAACCAUCCAUGCACUGUGUAAACAUAAGUCAAUUUUAACAUGAUACUUAUCGUGUUGACUGUUGCGGAUUUGAAGUGCCAUCCCUCAGCCCUUUGAACGUAGAUAGGUGAUUUCAUCUGGGGAAGGAGGUUGUGUCAUAUUCAUCUGCUUCUAGCAGUUCAAAUGUGAUAUGUACAAGAGGCUGAAUUCAGCAACUCUGAUGCAGAAAUAAGCCCAACAACCAUAGUCCCUUGGAUAGCCUAUGGGGCCAGUUCUAGGAGCAAUAGAACAAAGAAGACCCUAGAAAACAUCCAUGGGUUAUAACAAACGAAAUCUAAGGUAAUGGGUUGGUAAGUGUUCAGUGAGUUCGUAUCACUUAGCAGUGUAGUAUCUAGAGUGUUGCAGAAAGGAUGAAAACAAAUAUGGACUUUUAUGUACCUUGGCUAUGUUAGACAAUAAUAAGCUUAUGGGAGUUCCCAUUGUGGCUCAGUGGUAAUGAACCCGACUAGUAUCCAUGAGGAUGUGGGUUCAAUCCCUGGCCUCACUCAGUGGGUUAAGGAUCCUGCAUUGUUGUGCGCUGUGGUGUAGGUUGAAGAUGCAUUCGACCCCUAGCCUGUGGCCAUAAUAAUAAUAAUGAUAAUAAUAAUAAUAAGCUUACAUGUUUAAUAAAGUUGUAUAGAACUAAAUAAACACAAAAAGGGGAAAUACAAAUAAGAGAGAUGGACUGUAUUAAUGGCAAUAUCUUUGUUGUGAUAUUGCUCUAGAGUAAUGCAAGAUGUGUCAUUGGAAGAAACUAGAUAAAGGGCACAUUCUAUCUCUUCGUACUAUUUCUUAUGCCUGCAUGUGAAUCUAUAAAUAUCUCAGUAAAAAUUUUAUUUUAAAAAUAGGGCCGAAAUAGAUUCAUAUUGAAUUCUGUAAAACUUCAAAGGAACAAGUUAUAUUAAUAGUCUACAAUCUCUUCCAGAAGAUAGAAGCAGAGGAAAUACUUUCUAAGUCAUUUUAUGGAAUAAACAUUGCCAUAAUACCAAAACCAAAGACAAGGAAAAAAAGAACAAAACUACAGACCAAUAUUUCUUAUAAACACAGAUGCAAAGAUACGCAAAGUUAAACCUAACAAUGCAUAAAAACAAUUAUAUACCUUGACCAAUUGGGAUUUAUUUCAGUAUGAAAAACUUGUUUCACAUUCAAAAAUCAAUUAAUGUAAUCCAAUAUAUCAACAGGCUAAAAAAGAAAAACCACAUGAUCUUAUCAAAAGAUGCAGAAAAAGCUUUUGGCAACAUCCGACACUCAUUCAUGAUAAAAAUUCUCAGCAAUCCAGAAUAAGAGGGGAAAUUCAACUUGAUAAAGAACAUUUACAAAAAAAUCUAAGCUAAUGUCUUACUUAAUGAAACUCAGUUUUCCCACUAAGAUCAAGAAUAAGGCAGGGAUGUGUUCUCUCACCAUUAUUUUUCAACAUCACAUUGGAAGUGCUUGCUAAUGUAAUAACACAUGAAAAGUAGUAAAGGGUAUAUAGAUUGGGAAGAAAGAAAUUAAAAUUUGUUCUCAGUUGACAUGACUGUCUAUGCAGCAAAUAUGAAAGAAUCAACCAAAACACACAC
rnacentral:lncRNA from 1 species